AUUCUGUUGUUAUAUCUCCCUUUUCAUUUCUGAUGUUGUUAAUUAGGGUUCUAUCUCUGUACCCUCAGGUUAGUCUGGCUAAGGGUUUAUCUCUCUUUUUUAAUUUCUCAAGGAACCAGCUCCAGGUUUAGUUGAUUCUUUGUAUAGAUUUUUUUUUUUCUAUUUGAUCGAUUUCAGCCCUGAGUUUGAUUCUUUCCUGCCAUCUACUCCUCUUGGGUAUAUUUGCUUCCUUUUGUUCUAGAAAUUUUAGGUGUGCUCUGAAGCUGCUAGAGUAUGCUCUCUCCAGAUUCUUUGUGGAGGCACUCAGAGCUAUGAGUUUUCCUCUUAGCACUGCUUUCAUUGUGUCCCAUAAGUUUGAAUAUGUUGUGGCUUCAUUUUCAUUGAACUCUAAAGUCUGUAAUUUCUUUAUUUCUUCUUUGACCAAGUUAUCAUUGACUAGAGUGUUGUUCAGCUUUUAUGUGUAUGUGAGUUUUCUAUUAUUUAUGUUGUUGUUGAAGAUCAGCCUUAUUCUGUGGUGAUCUGAUAGGAGUCAUAAGAUUAUUUUUGUAGCUGUUGAGGCCUGUUUUGUGACCGAUUACAUGGUCAGUUUUGGAGAUUGUACCACGAGGUGCUGAGAAAAAAGUAUAUCCUUUUGUUUUAGGAUAAAAUAUUCUGUAGCUAUCAGUUAAAUCCAUUUGGUUCAUAACUUCUGUUAGUUUCACUGUGUCUCUGUUUAAUUUCUGUUUCCAGGAUCUGUCCGUUGAUGAGAGUGGAGUGUUAUAGUCUCCCACUAUUUUUGUGUGCAGUGCAAUGUGUCCUUUGAGCUUUACUAUAGUUUAUUUAAUGACUGGAUGCCCUUGCAUUUGGAGCAUAGAUGUUCAGAAUUGAGAGUUCAUCUUGAUAAAUUUUACCUUUGAUGAGUAUGAAGUGUCCCUCCUAAUCUUUUUUUGAUAACUUUAGGUUGAAAGUCAAUUUUAUUUGAUAUUAGGAUGGCUACUCUAGCUUGUUUCUUGGUACCAUUUGCUUGGAAAAUUGUUUUCCAGCCUUUUACUCUGAGGUAGUGUCUGUCUUUGUCACUGAGGUGGGUUUCCUAUAUGCAGCAAAAUGUUGGGUCCUGUUUAUAUAACCAGUCUGUUAGUCUGUGUGUUUUUAUUGGGGGAUAGAGUCCAUUGAUAUUAAGAGAUAUUAAGGAAAUGACUAUUACUUCUUGUUAUUUUUGUUGUUAGAGGUGGAAUUAUGUUUUUGUGGCUAUCUUCUUUUUGGUUUGUUAAAAAAAGAUUAUUUUCUUUCUUUGUCUAGAGUGUAGUUUCCCUCCUUGUUUUGGAGUUUUCCAUUUAUUAUCUUUUGAUAGGCUGGAUUUGUGGGGAGAUAUUAUGUAAAUUUUUUUUCAUGGAAUAUCUUGGUUUCUCUAUCUAUGGUAAUUGAGAGUUUUUCUGGGUAUAGUAGCCUGGGCUGGCAUUUGUGUUCUCUUAGGGUCUAUGACAUCUGCCCAGAAUCUUCUAGCUUUCAUAGUUUCUGGCUAGAAGUCUGGUGUAAUUCUGAUAGAUCUGCCUUUAUAUGUUACUUGACCUUUUCCCCUUACUACUAUUAAUAUUCUUUCUUUGUCUUGUGCAUUUCGUGUUUUGAUAAUUAUGUGAUGGGAGGAAUUCCUUUUCUGUCUAUUUGGUGUUCUGUAGGCUUCUUGUAUGUUCACAGACAUCUCCUUCUUUAGGUUAUGGAAGUUUUCUUCUAUAGUUUUGUUGAAGAUAUUUACUCUCCCUCUAAGUUGGGAAUCUUUGCUCUCUUCUAUUCCUAUUAUCCUUAGGUUUGGACUUUGCAUUGUGUCCUGGAUUUUCUUGAUAUUUUGGGUGAGGAGCUUUUUGCAUUUUGCAUUUCCUUUGAUUGUGUGUGUUUUCUAUGGUAUCUUCUGCACCUGAGAUUCUCACUUCUAUCUCUUGUAUUCUGUUGGUGAUGCUUGCAUCUAUGGCUCCCGAUAUCUUUCCAAGAUUUUCUAUCCCCAGAAUUGUCUCUCUUUGUGAUUUCUUUAUUGUUUCUACUUCCAUUUUUAGAUCCUGAAUGGUUUUGUUCAAUUCCUUCACCUGUUUGGUUGUGUUUUCCUGCAAUUCUUUAAGGGAUUUUUGUGUUUCCUCUUUAAGGGUUUCUACCUGUUAAUUUCUGUUUUCCUGUAUUUCUUUAAGGGAGUUAUAUGUCCUUCUUAAAAUCCUAGGUCAGGGGGGC
rnacentral:lncRNA from 1 species